ACGGGGUGCAGCAGGCGCGAAAACUUUACAAUGCGGGAAACCGUGAUAAGGGAACUCCGAGUGCCCGUAAAAUCGGGCUGUCCAUCAGUUUAAAUAACUGGUGAAGAAAGGGCCGGGCAAGACCGGUGCCAGCCGCCGCGGUAAUACCGGCGGCUCGAGUGGUGGCCACUAUUACUGGGCUUAAAGCGUUCGUAGCUGGUUUGUUAAGUCUCUGGGGAAAUCUGCCGGCUUAACCGGCAGGCGUUUCAGGGAUACUGGCAGACUAGGGACCGGGAGAGGUGAGAGGUACUCCAGGGGUAGGAGUGAAAUCCUGUAAUCCUUGGGGGACCACCUGUGGCGAAGGCGUCUCACCAGAACGGCUCCGACAGUGAGGGACGAAAGCUGGGGGAGCAAACCGGAUUAGAUACCCGGGUAGUCCCAGCUGUAAACGAUGCGCGUUAGGUGUAUCGGUGACCACGAGUCACCGAGGUGCCGAAGAGAAAUCGUGAAACGUGCCGCCUGGGAAGUACGGUCGCAAGGCUGAAACUUAAAGGAAUUGGCGGGGGAGCAC
rnacentral:rRNA from 1 species